rnacentral:tRNA from 59 species
GCACCCUUAGCUCAGUUGGUAGAGCAACUGACUCUUAAUCAGUGGGUCUAGGGUUCGAAUCCCUAAGGGUGUACAA